UGAUGAAGAACCUAAGGGGCGCACGCGCAAAAAGCGCGCCAAACUCGACGUGUACUCGGCGCCUGCGCUUCAAGACUUGUAUCUACAGGACAAUCGUCUCGAAGAGUUACCGCCAGAGCUGUUCCGUCUCCCAGCGCUGACGACCCUGGACGUGUCCAACAACAAACUACGCGCGCUCCCGCCAGCUGUAUGGACGGCGCCCGCCCUGCGCGACCUUAGCGCCGCCCUCAACCACUUGAGGUCGCUGCCGGCGGGAGACGAGGUCAGUCAACAACAAGCUAGACUCGGAGUAGUGCCAGAGACAGUCGUCUGCCGGCGCUGACAACACUAGAUGCGUCCAACAACAAGCUCCCGCCAGCUGUAUGGACCGCGGCCGCCCUGCGCGACCUUAGCGCCGCCCUCAACCACUUGAGGGCGCUGCCGGCGGGAGACGAGGUCAGUCAACAACAAGCUAGACUCGGAG